GGGAAGAUUCAGCUGACAUACAAGGAAAGUCUCAUCUCCCCAGGCCGCGAACUCCUUGAAUGCAGGCUGAGCCUCCACUGCCUGGACCUGGCACAGCAGAGGUGCUGGAUAGCAAUCCAGGGAAUAAAUAAAUUUCGCUCUUAGAAAGCAAGACCAGUACCUGGGGCCAAAAAUGAGCUGGGCGCUUCACCGACACAGGCACACAGGCGUGGGUGUGCAGGGAGGAGAGGAUGGAUCGAGGGCAAGGCUUUUCCAGGGACAGAGCGCCUGGCUCUGCAGGGACUGUCUCCCUACGCUGUGUGACCUUGGGCAAGUCACUCAGACUUUCCAAGCCAUGGGUCACCUCUAAUUUAAAAUAGGAGUGAACAUGAGAGCUGUCUCGUGAGGCAGGGAUGAGGAGACCGAGGAUGCAUGCCAGGGUCCUGGGGACGUGGGAAUGCUCAGGACACAGUGACCGCCAGGUCAUUGGAAGCAACAAAGAGAAGGACAGCGGGGCGGGGUGGGCGAGGAGCUGGCUAAGAUGAGUGACUGCCAGACUUCCAGGUUCUGGGCCUCAUGGUGCCUGGUGGGCUCAGACUGAGCCAGAGCCAGAGGGCUCUGGGUGGGGGUUGGGACCGCCUGGCUGUGGUCCCCACAGUGGCUGUGACUAAGAGAGGAAGGGGCAUCUGUGGUCGGACGUAGAGGGUAGUCUCUAGAAAGAAAAACCCCUCCCCAUUUCACUUCUCUUGACCCUCGGAGAGUGGCGAAGGGGCCCCGGAGAUGGGAGUUUUUCUGGAACGCGGCCCAGGAGAAAGAUUCUCUCCACUGCCCACCCCACAGAGGCGACACUGGCAACUGGUCUCUGCUCAAAGUUCAUCUCAGAGAAGCCUUCCCUGGCCACCUCUCCAACGCAGCAGGCCCAUCCCAUCCGUCUCUCUGCGCCCUGGUCCAGGUAUCCUGCGGCUCUGACCAUGACCUGAUAUUACACUUUGGCUUGUCCGCUUCCCUCAUUGCGCAGCCUGCCGCGAGGGCAUGAACCUCACGUGUCAGAGCCGGACUAGGAUGAGCCCCUGGGACACUGGACACCCCAAUACUUCUCCUGAGGAGCAGGUGAUCGGGCCUUGACGGGGGCUCAUGGUAGAAAUGGCUCAUGAUGUUGACCUUUCAAACAAAGAAUAAAAUCACAAUGACCCUUGAGACUGACCAAAUUGCCCAAACGACAUUCUGUUUCGCUGAUGGUGGCUACCUUCUCAAGGCUACAAGACCACUGGAUUCCAGACCUCCGGCUACGAGACUGCAGGACUCAGCUACAGGCUAAAAAUUAACCAUCCCUUCAGAGCAUUCUUCAUUGGCGGGAUGUAAGAAAGAUCCCAUCAGAAAGGGAGGACAGUGGUUCUCUUUAAGGGCCAGUCACCCUCUCGUUUUCCCUCUAAUAAAUUUCCUUUUCUUGCC
ensembl:lncRNA